rnacentral:rRNA from 1 species
CCUACGGGAGGCAGCAGUCGAGAAUCAUUCACAAUGGGGGAAACCCUGAUGGUACGACGCCGCGUGGGGGAAUGAAGGUCUUCGCAUUGUAAACCCCUGUCAUGUGGGAGCAAAUUAAAAAGAUAGUACCACACGAUGAAGAGACGCCUAACUCGCUGCCAGCAGCCGCGGUCAUACAGAGGUCUCAAGCGUUGUUCGGCAUCACGGGGCGUAAAGCGUGCGUAGUCUGUUUAGUAAGUCGUGGGUGAAAGGCGCGGGCUCAACCCGCGGACGGCACAUGAUACUGCGAGACUAGAGUAAUGGAGGGGGAACCGGAAUGCUCGGUGUAGCAGUGAAAUGCGUAGAUAUCGAGAGGAACACUCGUGGCGAAGGCGGGUUCCUGGACAUUAACUGACGCUGAGGCACGAAGGCCAGGGGAGCGAAAGGGAUUAGAUACCCCAGUAGUC